rnacentral:rRNA from 1 species
UACAGAGGGCUCAAGCGUUGUUCGGAUUCAUUGGGCGUAAAGCGCGCGUAGGCGGCUCCGCAAGUCGGCCGUGAAAUCUCCGGGCUCAACUCGGAGGGGUCGGGCGAGACUGCGGGGCUCGAGGUGGGCAGAGGGCAGUGGAAUUCCGGGUGUAGUGGUGGAAUGCGUAGAGAUCCGGAGGAACACCAGUGGCGAAGGCGGCUGCCUGGGCCUGGCCUGACGCUGAGGCGCGAAAGCGUGGGGAGCAAUCCGG